GACGAACGCUGGCGGCGUGCCUAAUACAUGCAAGUCGAGCGCAGGAAACUGACGGAACUCUUCGGAGGGAAGGCAGCGGAAUGAGCGGCGGACGGGUAAGUAACACGUAAGGAACCUGCCUCAAGGAUUGGGAUAACUCCGAGAAAUCGGAGCUAAUACCGGAUAGUUCAUCGGACCGCAUGGUCCGUUGAUGAAAGGCGCUCCGGCGUCACCUUGAGAUGGCCUUGCGGUGCAUUAGCUAGUUGGUGGGGUAACGGCCCACCAAGGCGACGAUGCAUAGCCGACCUGAGGGGGUGAUCGGCCACACUGGGACUGAGACACGGCCCAGACUCCUACGGGAGGCAGCAGUAGGGAAUCUUCCACAAUGGACGAAAGUCUGAUGGAGCAACGCCGCGUGAGUGAUGAAGGUUUUCGGAUCGUAAAACUCUGUUGUAAGGGAAGAACACGUACGAGAGGAAAUGCUCGUACCUUGACGGUACCUUACGAGAAAGCCACGGCUAACUACGUGCCAGCCGCCGCGGUAA
rnacentral:rRNA from 1 species